rnacentral:ncRNA from 2 species
ACGAUCUUCGCGGGAGAGGCCGGCGUUCGCGCCGGAGCCGAAGGCGCAACCGCCCCGGAAACGCUCAGGCAAAAGGACCGCGAGGAAAGA